CAGUCGCCGCGGUAAUACGAAGGGGGCUAGCGUUGCUCGGAAUCACUGGGCGUAAAGGGUGCGUAGGCGGGUUUUUAAGUCAGAGGUGAAAUCCUGGAGCUCAACUCCAGAACUGCCUUUGAUACUGAAAGUCUUGAGUAUGGGAGAGGUGAGUGGAACUGCGAGUGUAGAGGUGAAAUUCGUAGAUAUUCGCAAGAACACCAGUGGCGAAGGCGGCUCACUGGCCCAUAACUGACGCUGAGGCACGAAAGCGUGGGGAGCAAACAGGAUUAGAUACCCCCGUAGUCCCUGUCUCUUAUAC
rnacentral:rRNA from 1 species